CAAAGAACUCAAUUUUAAGCACUCUGGAGUUGCCAAGCAUUGAGCUGGCCAUUUCUGCAUCUUCAAAGUCAAGAAUGUCAGGUGACUUCUUCUCACCCUGCCUUCUCUCUGGUUCUCUCUCUUCUGCCUCCUUCUUCCACUUAUAGGGGGUCUUAUGAUUGUAUCGAGCCCACCUGGAUAAUCCAGUAUAAUCUUCCCAUCUCAAGAUCAGCUAAUUGGCAACCUUAAUUCCAUCUGCAACCUAAUUCCCUUUGCCAUGUAACCCAACAUACUCACAGGUUCUGGCAGUUAGGACGUGGGUAGCUUUGUGGACCAUCUUUCUGCCUACCACAGGUACACAGAGCAAGGAAAGCAAAGUCCCAGAGUCCUGGGAGGCAUUGGUCUGGGAUGGAGCAGGGAGGCCCACAGAGUAGAGAACAUCAUCUACAGAGAGCCCUCAGUCAAAGGGCCAGUGCUGCUGUCCAUCCCAGGAAUCCCACCAGAGCCCCCCGCCUCUAAGGUGGCUUCAUGUCUCCUUUCAAGCAAGAGUGUGCGGUGAUGAACUAAUCCAUGCUAAGGGACUUCCAUGCCUUCCCAUGACAUAGGAGCUCCCUCUAGAAGCAGCCCCGCUAGACACAGGGAGAGGAUUCACCAGUGGUAAAAUUUAAUGGUAAAACUUCCCAUUUUGGAAGUUAUUUAAUUGACUUCUCAAAAUGCAUCAUAUAUUCUUUCCUCUAACCACCUUUGUAAAUGGGCUGAUCUUACACCAAAGCGACAACAGUCAGAUCACACGUGAGUGAGAACGAGAGUGAGACAGACCACGAGACACACACACACACACACAACUUUCUAAUAUUGUUCUUAAAUAUCCAAAAGAUAUUUUUCUCAAAUAGAAAGUUAAAUAGGAAAAUAGUAACUUUUCCAUUACAGUUUGCUUCUGCUACCCCCUUAGGGGUGCCAAGAUGGGUCCGUUAAUGUCCUGUGACGAGCCGGGGUGAGAUUCUUUAUGGGGUAGUGUUUAUCCUCACCAUAUGUUUUCUCGAAUUGACUGAGAGUGUUAAUUGGUGUUUCAGGAAUCAGGAGGGGGCAGAUCAAGGGCAUCUAGGGAGAACGCAUCAUCUAGUGUCCCUCUCCCCUCAAUUAGUAGGUUAACACAUGUCUAAAUGCUCAUAAUUUGUGCUGAUCUACUGCUUAGCCAGCAAACGGGUCCCACUUGGAAUGUGCUAUAUGUCAGCCUUACAGUUUUCUUGUCUUCUAGUUGACUUAGAGAAAAAAAGAGGGAAGUUUUCUUUUUGAAUAUGGUGGCUGCAAAACGAAAAGGAGAGUGACUACACUGAGGUUCAUGAGUAGUAGAAGGUUUAGAUGGCACCAGGAUAUUCUGACUCUGUCCCCUCCUCCUAGGAAGACCCCCACCCUAGCAUUCUGCUCAAGCUCUCAUCAUCCCAUUCCUCAUCCCACAUUCCCACCUGCCUUCCUGUGCACAGACAGUAAUCCCUUCCCAAGACUCUCAGGGUCUUUCACCUCUUUCCUUACGAACCCACACCAGUCCCACCUCCCCAGGAAGCUUCCAAAGUACUUUUUGAAUACUCGAUUUCGCUACAAAUAAAGACAUUCCACUUAACAUUACAAAGAAACACGGAAUCUCAAGAUGGAAAAGUUCUAUAACUGACGAUGCUCAAUAUAAUAAGGCUACUCACAGCAAGAAUAAAUAGAUGCCACAGUUUGGAGGGUUUAGAAAAACUUAGCUGGAGGGCAAUUUGGACACAAUUAUCAAGAGUCCUUUAAAUGUUCAUGUGCUUUGACUCAGUAGGAAUCCUAUUAAGGAAAUAAAGAGAAAUGUCCCCAAAGACUUAGGCACAAUGUUUUUCAUCACUAAGUUAUUUGAAAUUGAAAAAAAAAAAAUCUUGGAAACAAUGUGCUAUGGUCUGAGUGUUCGUGUCUCCCCAAAAUUCAUACAUCGAAAUCCUAACCACUAAAGGUAAUAGUCUUAGGAAGUGGGGCCUUUGGGAGGCGAUUAGGUCAUGAAGGUGGAGCCCUGAUGACUGGGAUCACUGUUCUCACAAAAGAGGCUCCAGAGAGAUCCCCAGCCCCUUCUGCCAGGUGAGGAUGCAACGAGAAGUCUGCAACCCAGAAGAGGGCCCUCACCCGACCAUGCUGGCACUCUGAUCUCAGUUCAGCCUCCAGAACCGUGAGCAAUACAUUUCUGCUGCUCAUAAGCCACCCAUUCCAUGGUAUUUUGUUACAGCAGCCCUAACAGCCUAGGACACGAGGAAUUCCAGCAGUAGAAAGGUAGUUAAAUAAAUGAUGCAGUCAUUAAAAUUAUGUUUUAGAAAAAUAUUUCAUCAGACAGGAAAAUGGUGAAAAUACAGUUUUAUGUAAAACAGCAGGAUAUCCUCCCACCUCCAAAUUUGUUUCAUAUCUUGAAAUAUUAGUCAGAAUUUUUUCCUAUAUUUCUUAUUACUCCUACUCUUCCUGAUGUGGUAUUAAUUACUUCAGGGAAGAGAUGACACAGCAUAAAGCAGAAAAUACACAGGAGUCAGUUGGCUUCAAAUGCCUCAAUCCUGACAGAGAGAAAAUAAUUGGAAAGAUGCGAAGUGAAGAAGAGCAUGGCCUCCCCUACACUGCCUACCCCAAGAGCGGACAAAGAUCCCCUACCUAGAUAAAGGAGGAGCUGAAGGAGAUGUAGAGAAGUAAAGAGCAUACACAUUUGUGUGUAUGUGUGUGUGCAUGGACGUGUUGGGGGAAGGCACGAAGUAUGAUGAUAGGCUGGAAAAACUGAGGGCAAAGAGAACCUGGGCGCUUCCUGGACAGAGCCCCAGAAAAACAGCAGAGUGGUGCAGAGUUCCCUGUGUCCAGGGAAGAAAUGACCAUGUGCUGUGUCUAGGCUGACAAGGCCUUCAACAUACACACACACGCCCAGUUCCCAGCAAAGCAUGGGAGCAGCAGAAUGAAUCAGUGUGUUCAGAGUGGCACAGAAGUGGACAGGCCCUUUGAUGGCCUCAGGAAAUCUCCUGCAGCCCAGGGUGGCACCCAGACAGCCAAACCCCUAGGCAAUCAUGAACAGAGGGAAGUGGCCGAGAGACAGAAGCCCUGACACUCAGAGGACCAGUGUACUCCCUCCCUCUAAGCUUUGGCAUUGCACUGGGCCUUUCAUUCAUUCACUAAAGAACAGAAACAGAGUUCCCUCCCAUUGUCAGUGACCCCACCAGAGAGUCAAGUUUUAAGCUUCUGACCUAUGCCCAAUCGGUUAUCGAGUUGCAUCCCGGCAAGCCUGUCCACUCAGCCUGCCUUCCUUAGAUGAAGCCCUCCUCCACCACCACGGAUGGUCUACUGAGCUCAGGCUAAGGCUCUCCCUCGUCGUUUCUUUCCCCUUGAUGCCAGUAGAGUCAUCCUCCUGAAGCAAUUCUCCCACUAGCCCUGCUUGGAAACCUCCAGCAGGUCUUCAGCCCAGAGCACAGGCUUCACCUGGCCCCAAGGCCACACGAUACGCAGACCUGCGAAGUUAAUCCACCUUACCUCCUUAUUCUCUGCCACAGAAGCCCCAUCUCAGACUCUCUCUUCUCACCCAGAGACCAUUGCAAUCCAACCUAGCCACUCUUCAAAUCCCACGUCAAGUCUCAUCUUCUCUUGCAAUACUUCCAGCCUUUCAGUUCCCAUAGCUCUCUCCUGUCUUUGAUUCCUAUAACACUUAGCGUCUAAACCAUUCCCUCAAACUCUUAACCACAUAUGGCCUCAUGUGGUUUCAUCACUGAAGCCUAUGGUGUCUCUAUGGCUCAACUGCCCAAUUAGGCCAAGCUCCUGGGCGGCAGGACCAGCUCCUCUUUGCAAGUUGCCUGACAAUGAGAGUGCAGUAAGUGCUGUUUAAUGCAUUCAUUGAACACCAAUUUCUUUUCUAAUUACCAGCUUCAUGCAGGGCAGAUGGGAAAAUGGAGCAGACUACAGAUAGGGGCAAUGGGCAGAAAGUAGACCUGGGAAAGGAUUCCCAACAGAGGGAAGAGUGCUCACUCCAGAGCACAAAGCUCAGGUCCCCUCGGUGAAGGAAGUCAUUUAAACUCUGUAUUUGAGACUCAGUCGGUGAGACUUAAAUGUCUAUACAAUGUUAGUACUGUUAAUGUGCACUUUAGUUCGGGGACGGGGAAAAAAGGCAAGCAAGGUCUUAAAGAAAAGAAUAAGACACUAGGACUUCUUUAUUGAAGCCGUUUAAGCACAAUUUACCAAAUAAUGGCACAAAGCAGAGGUCACAGAGUAGUUCUGUGUGUGCACACACGUGCAUGCACAUUCAUGGCCAAAUAAGCUAAGAGCUGGCUUCUCACAUUUUAGGAGAAAGUGUUUAAAUAGAAUAUGUACACCCACCACAUCAGAAAAAUAGAGAAGGGCCAUACACAAGAAUUCACACACACACCACCAAAGGUUCAAUAAACAUAAGGAAAAAAUUCCACCUUAUCAGCAAUCAAUCAAACGUCUCUCUCGCCACCCAGUUGCGUAGUGGUUAAGGUCUCCCACUCUUCUUUGGCGGCCUGGGGUUUGCAGGUUUGGAUCCUAGGCUUGGACCUAACACCACUGGUCAAGCCACAUGGUGGCAGCAUCCCACAUAAAAUAGAGGAAGAUUGGCACAGAUGUUAGCUCAGGGCCAAUCUUCCUCACAAAAAAGAAAAGUUUUGAGAAGAGACUUCUUGACUCCUUCCCUAUGGCCUACAGGUAUCAAAAAUGAGAAUUUCAACAAACAAAUUCAGUUAAAGUUUACUUUGUGGCUACUGUGUGUCAGACACUGGGUAGUAACAGAAAGUCAUCUACAAGGUCAGGCGAGGGGUGACGUGAUCAAACUAUCAACCGUUAUCGUGAAUGAUGAACCGUGGGAGAAGGAGACCAAAUAAGCCAUUCUAAUUGCCUACACCAAACAACAAGAGCCAGGAUUAGGAUAGCGGCAGUGGAGGCGACAACAUUUGCUUCAAACUCAAGUCAUUCUCUUCUUCCUUCUAACCAAUUUUUUCUUUUUCUAAUUUAAAUUCAUUAUAACCACCAAUAAACAUCACAAGUACUGCAGAGGGGAUCUUUUUAUGAAAGGCUAAAAAAGUUCACAAAACUAUAUCUAGCUCCUACUUUUCACCGAAGUGUAAAAUUCUAAAACUUGGAGGGUGUGUACAAAUGUGCUCAAAUUCAGGAGCGAAAACGAGCCUUUUAUUUUUGCUGCCUGAGUUAAGUGAACCAGAGAUCAGUAGACCAAUAUUCCCCAGAUGAAAAGUCAAUUCACUUCUAGAACUAUUUUCUCUUUAGUAAAUCAUAAAGCACGAUUUAAGUCACUUUGCACAUAUUUAGUGCUGUGUGACUGAUACAUAAUAAUAAUGGCGAUGGCAAUCAUCUGAUCAACAGCAAGUGGCUAUUCCUCACACAAAGGAGGAGAAAGACGUCCAGGACAGGAGUCUGAUCUCAGACCUUCAGCCACAAAGAUAUCCUAUUUUAAAUGUAUUAUGUUUUACUUGGUUUUUCUUUCCUUCUGCCUCCCCAUCAAGUAAAACAAAUGCUAGCUGUUAUUUUAUGAGAAGCCGUAGAUCUCCUUGCAGGGAAAUGAGGAGUGGAAGGAAGUUCGGCUCCCGAGAGCUCCUGCUCACCUUAAAUGCUGUCUUCGGUUGUUGGAGAACAUGACUGGAAUCAAAAGGCCAGACUGAUGUCUGCAGAGGUGGGCUCCUGGCUCCCAGUGACUUCCAAAGGAGCAAUGUCAACCUCCAAGGUGGGAUUUGGCUCUGAAAGAGCGCUGCGUUCCGUUAAAGAUGUGCAUGUUCGUGCCUUGGCUGUAAGUGAAUCCAGGUCUGUUGUUUCCGCUUGGAAAGGGUAUUUGGUUAAACAGAAUAAUGCAACACACUGAAUCAACUCAGCUGGGAAAUACUCUGGAGAGGGGCUCAGGCCUCAGUUUGUGUAAGUGACGAGAAACUGGAGCACUCUGCGAUUCUCUCCACAUGAACAGCACACAACCGGCCAAUUCAGGAAAAGCCAAAAUCACUGAAUCCAAUUUCUUGGCAUCAGGGAGGCAUAAUCUUGGUGUUUAAAGGUAGAUACACUCCAGGGCCCUGAACUGUCCAGCAACUUAUCAUAGUUUGCUACUUUUCAGUAGCUGAAGCUGUAGAAGCUGCAUUACACCUUUCAGCACUGCUUUUUGGUUCUCACGUUCCAAAGGGCAUUCACUCCCGCUCCAAUAUUAUUCUAUUUGAUUUCAGCAGCUGUUUUUUGAGCCCUUACCAGGUGUCAGGCACUGUGCUGGGCACAGCGGAGACAAAGAUCAAUAAGACAGGAGACCUGCCUUUAUGGAGCUCAGCACAAAGAGAUAACAGUUUUACUGGUGGGACCUCCCAGCCUAGACAUUUGUUUAUAGUUUUUUUGUCACAGGGGGAGGAAAAAUCCAAAUCUCCGCAAAUCAUCUCUUUGGGUGACUAAUGAAAACAUUUUAUAACUGAGUGCACUGAAUGAAGAUUCCUCUUUGGAAUCCUUUCACCAAGAUGGGGUCCUUCUGAGUGUGGGACCCUUCUGAGUGUGGGGCCCUGUGCGACUACACAGGUCGCAUGCCCGUGAAGCCAGCCCUGCUUGUCACCUUCUCUGCUUUACCCGCAAAUGCCAACUGGUUGCACCACUGCACAUGCCUGACCAAUUCUGACUCCACUGUCUUUGGCCAAAGAGAGAAAAUGAGGUUACCAUCCAUGACACUUCAGUGACCUAGACAGACUCAUAGUAACAGAAAGGGCUGCCCUUGGGUUCUUGGAGGGUCAUACUUAGGCAAGGACUAAAAUAAGCAAUACUAUCUGCUACUAGAUGCCAAGCAAUUUGCAAAGCAUUAGCUCAUUUAAUCCUCAGAACAGCCUUAUAAGGUGGGCACUAUUAGUAUCUCCGUUUUAUAGAAAAGGAAUUGGAGGCUUUAAACGGAUAAGUAACUUUUUAAAGGUCACACAGGAAGUUGGUGGCAAGAUUACAUUCAGGUCUUCCUGGAAACAAAGUCCAUGGUCAAUAUACUCAUGACCCUUUAGCCCCCAAUCUGCUCUGAAGGGCUCCAGGCAGCCGUUUGGCAAUGGGAGAGAACGUACCUGCAGAGCUGCUUCUUCUGCCUACAAAACACUUGCUCCUUUGCCACUUUUUAAAAUACCAAUCAUAAUUGAAACUCCAAUAAAUACAUCACCUCCUCCAGGAAGCCUUCCUGGAUAUCCUCUUUGCCCUCUUGAUUAACUUCUUUCUCCUCUGCUCCCUCUACACUUUAUAUUUAACCCUAUUGUGGCAUUAAUCCUUAAACUGAAAUGUGUUUGCAUGUUUUUCCUGCUCAACAGUGAGUCCUUUGAGGGUAAAAAUUUAUUUUAUUGAUUUGUUUCCUCAACUCUUGCUAUAGUGCCUGACUGAUAAUAGGUGCUCAAUAAACAUAAAUUGACCUUACUUCAGUGGAAUGGAAUAGAACAGAAGGGAAUGGUAUGCCCUACAGAUUUAUCUAGAGGUUCCAGAAAGCUUUGAGGUAAAAAGAAGUCGGGGGAACAGUGGUUUGAAAAAAUUUCGUGAUUCAGUGGCUGUGACCCUCUCACCUGUUGGAACAUGGAAAUUUAACGUGUUUUUGUCUUUAGAAAGCGGAUGCCCUCCGUCUGUGCACCUUCUCUUCCUUUCUGAGCUGCACAACAGGGCAAGCAAGAACGCUGCAGGAAAGAGAUGUUUUGCCUGAUGGGAAAUUCGCUCAUAGAGCAACGCUGCAGAGUUUGCAGCACAGAGGGACCUAGAUCAACACGACUGCCUGCUCUGCGAUCCAGCCCUGAGUUCUCCUCUCCCGCUAGCUGACUCUCAGGAUCAGGGCCGUUCGGAGCCCUCUUCAGGCAGGACUGGUUUGCUCUCAAUUGCACAUCAGUACAUUUUCAUUUCAGCUUUAAUUACAUCUUAUCUAUGAAGGUGUCAGUGACCCGUCUUGGCGGCCAAAGGAGGCAGGAAGGUACAAGACCAUCGCCAUCAACUAGAUUGCUUCUGAGUUUUUCCACUUUCGGAAACUCCCAGGUCUCACUUAGGAGCCUGCCUCAGGUUGUCAUUAUUGUCCCGGAUAAGAAGGAAGGCGACUGCGGCUGAGCAUGGUCACGCAACUCGCACGUGGCCAGGGCUUCCCAGCAUCAGAGCUGGCUGUGGAGGCUGACAAGUCCAAGAUCAAGUUAUGGCAGAUUCAUUGUCUGGAAUUGUCUUCUCUGGGCGUUUCACCUUUUUGCUGAGGUCUUGCCUCUGCCCUUGGCUGCUGUAACUAGACUGUCUCCCAACAUCCCAGCACCCACAGGGACGUUCAGUUCUCUGCAGAGAAGAACUCCUACACCAAGAAUGGCCAGUGCUGAAAGGCCAAGGGACCCAGACACACCAACGCCUACUGUCCAAGGACUUUCUGUCCCCGUGGCUGUUGCUCCACCACCUGUUCAAGGACACAGAAACAGUGUGGAGGCUUUUCAGUGAGUGAGUGGAGAAGGGCUUAGAAUUUCCAUCUUAGGAAUUUAGGUUUUAGGUUCAUAGCAGAAUUGAGGAAUUUCCUUUUCUCAUCAGGGUCGGAGAACCACACAUUCCCUGAUACCUCAAGGGAAAUCAAGCUUAAAUGACUCUAACAGGGGCUGGCCCCUUGGCUGAGUGGUUAAGUUUGCGCUCUCUGCUUCAGCGGCCCAGGCUUCACAAGUUUGGAUCCUGGGUGCAGACCUACACACCAGGCAUCAAGCCAUGCUGUGGAAGCACCCCACAUAGAAGAACUGGAAUGAAUUACAACUAGGAUACACAACUAUGUACUGGGGCUUUGGGGAGAAAAGAAAAAAAGAGGAAGAUUGGCAACAGAUGUUAGCUCAAAAGAAAAAAAACUUUAACAGAAAAAGAAGUGUCUAUGUUCCUCAGUUCAUGAAACUAACACGUCCUCAAAAAGGGAUGUAAAGAUGGAUUUCCCAAAGUUUUAUCUUAUUUUUAAUUCAUCACAAGAACUUUCUCUUUAAAGGUGUGUUUACUAUGUAAAAUAAGAAGCCAUUUGUAGUAUGAAUUUUAACUUCCUUAAUACCAAACCCUCACCACCAUCUUAUGUAUCUGUUUAGUAAAUCCCAGGGUUCUUUGGGUUUUCUUAGAGUGGAACACAUUCAAGUAAAAAUAUUUUUUAUCAGGAAAUGUUUGAAGGUGAUGGAUAUGGAUAUGGAUAUGGAUAUUAUUACCUUGAUUGUGGUGAUGGCAUCACAGGCAUACAAAUGUCCAAAGUCGUCAAAUUGUAUAUGUUAAAUAUGUGCAGUUGUCUGUAUGUCAAUUAUACCUCGAUAAAGCUAAAGUAAAAUAAGAUAAAGUGUUGUUUAUUAUUCAGCUCAGUUCAACGACCCUUUAUUGAGGGCCUGCCAGGAGGAGGGAACCACUGGGCUAAGAGUCAGAGAGGCAGAGGUGACUGUGGCACAGUCGUUGUAAGCUUCAUGGAGUUGGCAUCAUUAUUUUAUUCUCGCUGAAUGACAUAGUGGGCGUUGUGUCCUGACUAUGGAAAAGCUGGAGUUUUUUAAAGCAGUGCUGAAAGGGUUACAGUGGCAGUAAUUUUACAAACUAAUAAAAAUAAAUAUUGAC
ensembl:lncRNA